UUUACAUACGAUGCAGUAACACAUGUACGAUGACAACGUGAUGGCCUGUUAACAGAGAAAAAAAGAAAGAAAUCGUUGGUUUGUGCCAACCAACCGACUUCCAUUCACAAACAACGCGAGAAUGAGAAGACGUGUGCGAGUAGAGUGUGUGAACGAUGAAACUAUAAAGCGACAGUUGAUGUUUUGUUUUGUUUUGCCCUUUAAUUCACAUUAUUCAUUAAUUUAAAGUCACCGCGUCUUAAUUGCGACUUCAAUUAUGAAAUAUAAUGUGUGCCCGAUUGACUAAAGUUGCGUUUGAGAUCAAAAUGUGUCCAAAUAGUAAGUGCACGUAAGUUAGUCCGUGGUGUAAAACGUGGCACAGCGAUAUACUGGUUGUGAAUUCACCGGGUUUCGGUUAGCUGUGGCUGCUAAUGCAUGUGUGUAAAAAAAUAUAUAUAUUUAAAAUGACGUCACGAACAGGAUUCGAACCUGUGCGGGGAAACCCCAUUGGAUUUCGAGUCCAACGCCUUAACCUCUCGGCCACCGUGACUACAUCUACCUGUCGGCGUCCCAGGACCCGUUUUGAUAACGACAACAAUAUGGUUACGUCAGACUUACACGAACAGCAGUUUCCGACAAUGAGACAAACAUGUUAUUUGUCUCCUUAAUUGUAGCUGUGCCACCGAUAAUGGCGGUUAGUGUUGCUUCGCGGAAGCAGCGCCGGGUGUUGUUGUGAGUGUCGACAUUGGAGGGAGACAAACUCCGUCAAAACAUCCCGGCUCACCCACGGAAGUUGGGAGGAAAAUCCCUCCACAGGUUACUUGUGUCUGUUACUUUAACGUAUCACGUUCACCAGAUUACACUGCUAUGACCUACAGUUAUUUCCAAACUCACAGUGGCCUCAGCAACAGCAAGCUUAACUACAUGUUUCCUGGAGUCACGGGGAUCAGAACGUGAGUGAUGCACAGAACAUUACAGCCUACUGUUAUCUAAUUGGUAUUAAAUGCCAUUUACUAAACUGACAUGACAUUAAAGUUGACCUGAAGGACAGCAAAUAAAAGGCCACAAACAGUGUUUGAAUGUUAUAAAGUCUUUAUUGAUGUAUACAAUACUAAAUUUUGAAAGGAAAUGCCGGCAUGUUUACAAGAUGCUUGAAAAAAAUAGCAUCAGUAGGAGUACAAUGAAAGUGGCAAGGGAAUCUUCUGCUGUGAAGGAAACUUCUUUGGUUUAAGUGAUCAACUACACAAAAAGGCCAUAAAGUAAGAACUUUAUAUCAACAAAGAGGAUGUUUAAGGCAAUAUAUCACUACCUGACAGUUCUGUAAUGUUUUUUUAACUUUCUAACAAAAUAAAAGUUCUCACAUGUAAUCCUGAUUAAACAUCUGAUUUCAGGACAAAUACGAACAGACGUUUAAACACAUACAGAAAGUGUAAAUAUUAGCAAACAAAGAUGUCACAAAAGUAAAACAGUUGCAUGAAUGACAAGGAAAUACCUCGAAGCCAGUCACAUUUUUAACCUCUACAGUACAGAUAAUGUACAUGUAAGCCUAGUGUUUCGAUCCCUUUUCAGUUUUUACACAAAGAAGGAUAAACAAAACAAAAAAAAGUGAACAAGAUCAUUUAAUAAAA